AAAAUAAAAAAUAAAAAUAAAUAAAUGAAAAUUUCAAUGUUUCAGAUGGCAUCAAUCUUUUCAUAGAUUUUCCAUAUCAUAUAGCAUCCUUCCUUAAACAUGAUUAAUUAUUUUGACGCUAAUUUUCAGUGAGCUGCAACUAUUAAGACACCAUCUGGCAAGUUUAUUCAUACUUCUAAAUCGUAUGGUACCAGUAAAUCACAAGUUUAUACCUUAUAGAAGAAUCAGUAAGCUGCAGAGCAUUAAAAAAUGCUAGAAAAACUAUUUCAUACUUUUUAAGUUCCAGCACACCUGAAUUAGUUAAAUCCAUUCAUGCAAGUUCACUGCUGGUACUGAUAAUCAACACAAACAAUGUACAGCAGCCCAAAAGAAGAAUAUAAAGUAUCCAUAAAUUCGAAAACAAAGAGAUACAGAAGAGUUACAACAUUAGUAAAAGAAUUAUUUCUAUUUUGACAUGUUAUACACUAAUGUAAGUAGUAAAAGACUUGAUAGUUUACCCUUUAGAAUGAGACUUCUUCUUUCGUGGAAAGAAUUCUUUAGAGUGGAUUUUAAAACGCUAUGCAGUUUUCUAUAUAGAAUCAUCCUUAUGGUAAUGAUAACACAACUUAAGCCGUGAUCUCCAAUCCAGUGUUGUAUCACUAAAAGUCUAGACUCAAAUAAAAGCCAAUGAGUUCAUAUUCUUCUUUCUCUUGUCUUCAUAAAAAGUCACAUUGAACACACAUGUACAGUAUAGAAAGCAAAUUGUUCUUAUCAAAUGAACAAGUACAGAGUGAGUUAAUACUUACUGGUUUUUUGUAUGAUACUCAUACAAGAGAACUAAUGCAAAGCAACAUGCGUAUAAAUAACCAUGUAUGAUGUUCAAAAGAUGGGGUUAAUUGUGAAAUCAAAUGAUUGCAAAAGCAGUUGAUACACGAUGAACUACAACAACUCCAAAGAAAUAACGACUAUACAACUGAAAACAUAAACAGAGGGAUGUUCUGAAAGAAGACAAAUUUGAUAUGAUAUGACAUGCCCCUAAGAAUAAAGGUUUGUUAGUUAAAUACUUUCUGUGA
rnacentral:lncRNA from 1 species